UCCUACGGGAGGCAGCAGUGGGGAAUUUUGGACAAUGGGCGCAAGCCUGAUCCAGCCAUGCCGCGCAGGAUGAAGGCCUUCGGGUUGUAAACUGCUUUUGUACGGAACGAAAAGGUGCCUUCUAAUAAAGGGCGCUCAUGACGGUACCGUAAGAAUAAGCACCGGCUAACUACGUGCCAGCAGCCGCGAUAAU
rnacentral:rRNA from 1 species